AUUGCCGUUUCGAUAUUCACCGUUAACACACAUUUUGACGGGCGCUUUCGGUUUUAGUUUUAUUGUGAUAUUUAAUAUAACCAGAGUUUAUGUGUUUGCAUGUCCGUCCCCAUCUAAAUGAAAUGUCUUACACAUAUCAACGCGUAUACGAAUACGGCAAUAAUAAGUAAGUAUAUCAAACGACGACGACGUAUUUUAUACGAGUCUAUUUACGUUACCGUAAUAUAUUUUUACAGUAUUGU